UGUUAGAAAAUUUUCAUCUAUUUCUACGGUUAAAAAAUGACAUGGCAGAAUACCAAAAAAUUACACCUGGCAUGCCACGUGUACCUCAUUUUGAGAUACAGGGACCAGUUUUUAACAAUAGAAAUUGAUUAAAUUUUUAACA
rfam:Gossypium arboreum cultivar AKA8401 contig_6656_3, whole genome shotgun sequence.